GACGAACGCUGGCGGCGUGCUUAACACAUGCAAGUCGAACGGAAAGGCCUGCUUUCCCUUGUGGAUUGCGGGUACUCGAGUGGCGAACGGGUGAGUAACACGUGAGUGAUCUGCCCCCAACUUGGGUAUAAGCCUGGGAAACUGGGUCUAAUUCCCGAUAGGACUGCAGGGUGGUGCCUGUGGUGGAAAACGAUUUUCUAGUGGUUGGGGAUGAGCUCGCGGCCUAUCAGCUUGUUGGUGGGGUAAUGGCCUACCAAGGCGGCGACGGGUAGCCGGCCUGAGAGGGUGGACGGCCACAUUGGGACUGAGAUACGGCCCAGACUCCUACGGGAGGCAGCAGUGGGGAAUAUUGGACAAUGGGCGGAAGCCUGAUGCAGCGACGCCGCGUGGGGGAUGAUGGCCUUCGGGUUGUAAACUCCUUUCGACCGCGAGGAAGCCACCUGGUUGGAAGGGUGGUGACGGUAGUGGUAGAAGAAGCACCGGCUAACUACGUG
rnacentral:rRNA from 1 species